rnacentral:piRNA from 1 species
UCUUCUCUUUUGUUUUGGUUCCCCUCCUC